AGAGUUUGAUCCUGGCUCAGGAUGAACGCUGACAGAAUGCUUAACACAUGCAAGUCUACUUGAUCCUUCGGGUGAAGGUGGCGGACGGGUGAGUAACGCGUAAAGAACUUGCCUUACAGACUGGGACAACAUUUGGAAACGAAUGCUAAUACCGGAUAUUAUGAUUGGGUCGCAUGAUCUGGUUAUGAAAGCUAUAUGCGCUGUGAGAGAGCUUUGCGUCCCAUUAGUUAGUUGGUGAGGUAACGGCUCACCAAGACGAUGAUGGGUAGCCGGCCUGAGAGGGUGAACGGCCACAAGGGGACUGAGACACGGCCCUUACUCCUACGGGAGGCAGCAGUGGGGAAUAUUGGACAAUGGACCAAAAGUCUGAUCCAGCAAUUCUGUGUGCACGAUGAAGUUUUUCGGAAUGUAAAGUGCUUUCAGUUGGGAAGAAGUCAGUGACGGUACCAACAGAAGAAGCGACGGCUAAAUACGUGCCAGCAGCCGCGGUAAUACGUAUGUCGCAAGCGUUAUCCGGAUUUAUUGGGCGUAAAGCGCGUCUAGGCGGCUUAGUAAGUCUGAUGUGAAAAUGCGGGGCUCAACCCCGUAUUGCGUUGGAAACUGCUAAACUAGAGUACUGGAGAGGUAGGCGGAACUACAAGUGUAGAGGUGAAAUUCGUAGAUAUUUGUAGGAAUGCCGAUGGGGAAGCCAGCCUACUGGACAGAUACUGACGCUAAAGCGCGAAAGCGUGGGUAGCAAACAGGAUUAGAUACCCUGGUAGUCCACGCCGUAAACGAUGAUUACUAGGUGUUGGGGAUUUAUAAAUCCCCGGUGCCGUCGCAAACGCAAUAAGUAAUCCACCUGGGGAGUACGUUCGCAAGAAUGAAACUCAAAGGAAUUGACGGGGACCC
rnacentral:rRNA from 1 species